CCUACGGGAGGCAGCAGUAGGGAAUAUUGCUCAAUGGGGGAAACCCUGAAGCAGCAAAGCCGCGUGGAGGAAGAAGGUUUUCGGAUUGUAAACUCCUUUUGUUAGAGAAGAUAAUGACGGUAUUAAACGAAUAAGCACCGGCUAACUCCGUGCCAGCAGCCGCGGUAAUACGGAGGGUGCAAGCGUUACUCGGAAUCACUGGGCGUAAAGCGCGCGUAGGCGGGAUAGCAAGUCAGAUGUGAAAUCCUAUGGCUUAACCAUAGAACUGCAUUUGAAACUGUUAUUCUAGAGUAUGGGAGAGGUAGGUGGAAUGCUUGGUGUAGUGGUGAAAUCCGUAGAGAUCAAGAGGAAUACUCAUUGCGAAGGCGACCUGCUAGAACAUAACUGACGCUGAUGCACGAAAGCGUGGGGAGCAAACAGGAUUAGAUACCCUAGUAGUC
rnacentral:rRNA from 1 species